UACGGGGGGGGCAAGCGUUGUUCGGAAUUACUGGGCGUAAAGGGCUCGUAGGCGGCCAACUAAGUCAGACGUGAAAUCCCCAGGCUCAACCUGGGAACUGCGUCUGAUACUGGAUGGCUUGAAUCCGGGAGAGGGAUGCAGAAUUCCAGGUGUAGCGGUGAAAUGCGUAGAUAUCGGGAGGAACACCAGUGGCGAAGGCGACUACCUGGCCCAUUCUUGACACUGAGGCGCGAAAGCUAGGGGAGCGAACGGG
rnacentral:rRNA from 1 species